rnacentral:tRNA from 1 species
GCCGGAGUAGCUUAGCGGUAAAGCAGCCGAUUCGUAAUCGGCAGACCGUGGGUUCAAGUCCCACCUCCGGCU